GAUGAACGCUGGCGGCGUGCCUAAUACAUGCAAGUCGAGCGAACAGACGAGGAGCUUGCUCCUCUGACGUUAGCGGCGGACGGGUGAGUAACACGUGGAUAACCUACCUAUAAGACUGGGAUAACUUCGGGAAACCGGAGCUAAUACCGGAUAAUAUUUUGAACCGCAUGGUUCAAUAGUGAAAGAUGGUUUUGCUGUCACUUAUAGAUGGAUCCGCGCCGCAUUAGCUAGUUGGUAAGGUAACGGCUUACCAAGGCAACGAUGCGUAGCCGACCUGAGAGGGUGAUCGGCCACACUGGAACUGAGACACGGUCCAGACUCCUACGGGAGGCAGCAGUAGGGAAUCUUCCGCAAUGGGCGAAAGCCUGACGGAGCAACGCCGCGUGAGUGAUGAAGGUCUUCGGAUCGUAAAACUCUGUUAUUAGGGAAGAACAAAUGUGUAAGUAACUAUGCACGUCUUGACGGUACCUAAUCAGAAAGCCACGGCUAACUACGUG
rnacentral:rRNA from 1 species